AAAAAAUGUACGGGAGAGACUAUUUUAAUAUAGCUCCGAAGGAUCAACUGCCCAGGAAAAUCUCAGGGAAAAGGACCGUAUACAUAAA
rnacentral:ncRNA from 1 species